UGGUGUAGUCUCAUGUGACUUGUUACCUGUU
rnacentral:piRNA from 1 species